rnacentral:lncRNA from 1 species
CAGGCUACCGCUUAAGCCACAUCCCCAGCCCCAGCCCCAAACACCUAUGGGUUUUUAAAGAGAAAGUCUCAUUUGAAAUUGUGUGUGAGUGUGCGCGUGUGCGCACACACACAUUUAUAGAAAAAUCUUGGGCAGGAGAUUGCAACCAUGAUUCUCUUGGGGUUUUAUCUCCAGGUAUUUUCUCUAAGCACAUUUAAAUUCAUGUUCCUCAAUUCUGAUGUUGUUACUAACCCAGCCUGCUCUCUGCAAUUUUGAAAUUUCUGGCCAUAAUAUAAUUUCUUUUGUUUCACUGAAUCUAAAUUUGAACAAAAAGAAUUAAGGCAAUCCAGAGGAAAAAUUACAAAAACAAAUUGAUUCACAAAGCACAAAUUUCUUAACCUAAG